rnacentral:lncRNA from 1 species
GAUUAAGUUUCUUUGCCUGGUUAAUCGAUUAAUUAACUUAAUAUGGUUCGAGUUGGGUUGUUUGAGGGUUUGGUUUAUUAAGGGACACUGGUUUAUUAAGGGACACUUGGCGAGAUUUUAAGGAGUGGGACAGGAUGUGAGACAGGGUGUGGUACAGAAGAUCCGUUGCGCCCUCCGUCCCACUUUGAUAGUCCUGUUUUCCUUUUUUGUCUGUCCCAAAUUGCAGUCCACUUUCCAAUUGAAGAAUGUAGUUGUAUUUUCAUUUUUCUAAAAUACCCUUAUUUAAUACAAGUUGUUGUUGCUAUAAACCUACCCCAUUUAAUGAGAGUUGAUUCUUUUUUUACCAUCAAUUCAAGUUCCCAUAAAGUUAUACUCUAUUUAAUGUGAGGGUAUUUUAGGAAAAUAGCAAUCUAAAUUUAUUUUUCCAACAAAAUUAACUACUUUUUCUUAAAC